GCCAGCUGGUGGCCCAGCCAGUGGUCACCCUGCGCCCUCGCUGCUGCAUGCCAUGGCCGCCCAGUAGCACCUGGGCCUGCCUGCCGCUGCACCGAAUGUGCGGUGGCGAAGGUAAGGCUAGCGGAGCAGCUGCGGGCGCAGGGAGGGUUGCUGGUGCGUGUGGGGCCCGGUGGGUGCCUUACCUCCCUUGGGCUGGGCCAGCUGGUGGCCCAGUCAGUGGUCGGCCUGUGCCGUCACUGCCGCUUGCCAGCUACGCCUCGGACGGCGCAGGGGGCGGCACCACUCAUGCACGGCGUUCCUGGGCCGAGGUGGUUGCUGGGUGACGGCCCACGUGCAGCCACAGGAGAGGAGGUGGAGCGUGCACGCCUCCUCCUGCCCCGCCCGCAGGGAAAUACAGGUAGUCCUCGACUUAUGACCACAUGGUUGGGGUCGCAGCAUUAGGAAGGUUGAGAACCACUGCUCUAAAACCUGACAAUUCCUGGGGAAGAAAAGCUAUCCUUAAAGACUUGAAAAGCAAGAAGUACAUUGAAGAAGGAUGUACUUUAUUGGGGAUUUAUGGUUUCAAACAUUAAUUAAAUUAUUUCUCUCUUAUGUUAUUGUCUGCCUUUUGGAUAGUGCAUUUUUAGACUUCUGCUUGGAGGGAGUAAGGAGGAGGAAUUCUAAGACAAAACUGUUAUGUUUGGUGUUCUGUGAGGCAUCGACGAGACAGCAGAAUCAACCUUGUCCUAUGUUAGGCAGCUGGAAGCAAGAGUAAGACAGCUGGAGGAGGAAAAUCGCAUGCUGCCCCAGGAUCCCAUUAGGAUGCCAUCAGAGGCAGAUGGGAAUGUCUGUUCUCCGAGCCAUCCAGCUAGCUUCAAUGAACAGGCCUCCUUAUCUUCUCAGCAGCCUGAAGCGAUGGUUAAUGCCCUCAAGGUUGUGUGGAGGAAACUUGGAGAUGCUGCAGGCUCGUGUCCUGGAAUUAGACAGCACUUGUCUGGAAGCCAAUACAAAGGGCCAAUGUGAAUGACUAUCAAAAUGAAGAAGGAUUCCAAGUAUCAGUGGACUUCACAACAAUCCUUUUAGUAGUAAUGAGACAAUGCCAAACACUUUCUAGGCCACCACUGGAAAAUAGAAGUCUUUUCUUUAUAGACUUUAGUGUGAGGUAUCCAGAUCUGCAACUAAUAUACUCCAUUCUGCUUUUGCCACAAGCAUUUUCAAUGUAUACACACACACACGC